UCAAGUAAGAGAAGGGCAUUUGGUGAAUGCCUUGGCACUAAGAGGCGAUGAAAGACGUGGCACGCUGCGAUAAGCUUCGGGGAAUUGCGAGCAAAUUUUGAUCCGAAGAUUUCUGAAUGGGGAAACCCACCCCUUUAGGGGUAUCCUAUAGUGAAUUCAUAGCUAUAGGAGGCAAACGAGGCGAACUGAAACAUCUCAGUAGCCUUAGGAAAGGACAUCAACCGAGACUCCGUUAGUAGUGGCGAGCGAACGCGGACCAGGCCAGUGGCUUAAGUGUAAGAACCGGAACCGUUUGGAAAGGCGGGCCAUAGUGGGUGAUAGCCCCGUACGGGUAGAAAGCAUUCAAGUCCUUGAGUAAGGCGGAACACGUGAAAUUCUGUCUGAACGUGGGGGGACCACCCUCCAAGCCUAAGUACUCCUUAGUGACCGAUAGUGAACAAGUACCGUGAGGGAAAGGUGAAAAGCACCCCGAUAAGGGGAGUGAAAGAGACCUGAAACCGAAUGCUUACAAGCAGUGGGAGCACCCUUGAGGUGUGACCGCGUACCUUUUGUAUAAUGGGUCAGCGACUUAAUUUUACGAGCAAGCUUAAGCCGUUAGGUGUAGGCGCAGCGAAAGCGAGUCUUAAUAGGGCGCUUUAGUUCGUAGGAUUAGACCCGAAACCUAGUGAUCUAGCCAUGGGCAGGUUGAAGGUGCAGUAACAUGCACUGGAGGACCGAACCCACCUAUGUUGAAAAAUGGGGGGAUGACCUGUGGCUAGGGGUGAAAGGCCAAUCAAACUAGGAAAUAGCUGGUUCUCCGCGAAAUCUAUUUAGGUAGAGCGUUAUGUAUUGCCAUCGGGGGUAGAGCACUGGAUGGGCUAGGGGGUCCUACCGACUUACCAAACCUAACCAAACUCCGAAUACCGAUGAGUAAAAGCAUAGCAGACAGACAGUGGGUGCUAAGGUCCAUUGUCGAGAGGGAAACAGCCCAGACCGCCAGUUAAGGUCCCAAAAUCACAUCUAAGUGGAAAAGGAUGUGGGAAGGCCAAGACAACCAGGAGGUUGGCUUAGAAGCAGCCACCCUUUAAAGAAAGCGUAACAGCUCACUGGUCUAGUUAAGCCGUCCUGCGCCGAAGAUGUACCGGGGCUCAAGAUGUGUACCGAAACUGCGGAUUCAGAUCUAUGAUCUGUCUGGUAGCGGAGCGUUCCGUAAGCCUGUGAAGGUUCACCGCGAGGUGUGCUGGAGGUAUCGGAAGUGAGAAUGCUGACAUGAGUAGCGAUAAAGAGGGUGAGAAACCCUCUCGCCGUAAGUCCAAGGGUUCCUGUGCAAGGUUAAUCCGCGCAGGGUGAGUCGGCCCCUAAGGUGAGGGCGAAAGCCGUAGCCGAUGGGAAUCAGGUUAAUAUUCCUGAACCUUCUGGAAGUGACGAAUGCUGAUAGUCGUAUCCCCUUAUUGGAUUGGUGGAUGCGGCGUAGGUGUUCCAGGAAAUAACUCCAGAGUUAGACCGUACCCCAAACCGACACAGGUGGACAGGUAGAGAAUACCAAGGCGCUUGAGAGAACGAUGUUGAAGGAACUCGGCAAAAUGCACCCGUAACUUCGGGAUAAGGGUGACCUCCACUUGGGCAACCAGGUGGUGGUGGCACAAAAUUGGGGGUGGCGACUGUUUACUAAAAACACAGGGCUCUGCGAAGUCGCAAGACGACGUAUAGGGUCUGACGCCUGCCCGGUGCUGGAAGGUUAAGGAGAAGGGUGCAAGCUCUGAACCGAAGCCCCACUAAACGGCGGCCGUAACUAUAACGGUCCUAAGGUAGCGAAAUUCCUUGUCGGGUAAGUUCCGACCUGCACGAAUGGCGUAACGACUUCCCCGCUGUCUCCAACAUCGACUCAGCGAAAUUGAACUCUCCGUGAAGAUGCGGAGUACCCGCGGUCAGACGGAAAGACCCCGUGCACCUUUACUACAGCUUUGCAGUGGUAUUAGGGAACGUAUGUGUAGGAU
rnacentral:rRNA from 1 species